AAAGGAAAUCACGCAAAGCACGCCCUCAUCUAACGCCUUCGAUUUCCCUCCCGAAUCCCCCUUCCUCUCUCCCUCAAACCUCAAUCGCCGCCGCCCCGGCACCUCGCCGGCCACCGCAGCUCCGGCUCCUCCUCCCCAACCCACCCCCUCCUCUCCAUCCAGAACCCCCAACGGCGGCCGCAUCCCCCACCACCCACGCGAUCUCUUCCCCUCGAUCCUCGCCGGCGCAUGCGACCCACCUCCGCGCCGUCAAGAACCGGCGACCUCCACCCUCGAGGUCAACUCGAUCUCCGCCGUCCUCUGGGGAUCCUUCACCGUGCGGAUUCCGACCCUCGGCGCCGCGCUCCGGGAAGACGUACAUCCCCUGGGCACGCCUCCAUCGGCGAGCUCCUGCCACGGCGCCCAUCCGGAGCACGAAGGCCGCUUUAGUUCACCCAGCCACCGCGCCGCUAUCCUACUCCGAAGACCUGCUACUGACCGGACCACUGCCGGCAGCCUCCACAAGCUGGCGAGCCCUAGGAGAAGCUUGGGACAGAUGGAUUGAUGGUGGUGCAGCUCGAGGAGGCGGCGGCGGGUUCGCGAGGGGCGACGGCUUGCUCGGACGAACGGAUACUGCUACGGCUUGCUAUUAGGAAGGAUUAUCUUAAAGAGUAGCUGCAACCCUGAUCUGCUAUAGAAGCAUCGUAGAAGAUAAGGUCCCCUGUAAAACAUGGUUGCACUAGCUGUUUGUGUUACUGCAUUAGGGAAAGGCAUCCCAUAUGUGUAUUAGACUACCUCAGACUCAGAGAAAGUUACUUGGCAAGGAGUGUGGUGAAGGGCACAAUAUAUCCUGAGCGGCACACUACAAUUUUGUUUGAGGAUUGAGGAAGCAUUCAACAAUUAUAGUGCAAGGAUAGAUAUACCAUCUGAUUGAGCCAACUCAGCAGACACUCACGAUGAUUGUUUCUUGAGUGGGAGGAGAUUCUGAAACAAGUACAUAAAUGCUUACAGGGACGUUUAGUAGAUCCACUGAAGCAGAACAACAUUUUUGGGCGCAAUGUCAGCAAAGGUAGUGGACGGAUGUACAUAUGAGAUGCCAACGGAGCCAUGUUCUUGGACCUGCGGUGCUUGGUAGCCGGUUGGGAUGUACGCUGCGCCGGAGGAUCGGCUGGCUAACAACGGUUGGUGGUGAGAGAGAAGGAAGGGGAGAGAUGUACGCGGGCCUGCACUGAUGCAGCGGCGGCAGCAGCAACAGUGAGGGUAAAAUGUAGCCGCGGGGUGGUGGCUUGGAGAAAAGGAGCUAGACUAGCUGUGUGUUGGUUCAGGUUUUGUUCCGGCUGGACUAGCGAAGAUGCUAGUUGUGUGUGUGGUGUAUCAUUCAGGUUCUAGCUAAAGUGUGGACAAGAUGCAUCUGGCCAAAAUUUUCCACCAAUGCUGCUGUACAUGCUAGCUAGCUAGGUGUUGUUUCAUGUCCAGUCGCUUGGCUUGCUGCAGCUGUCGUGUAUACUGUAGUUUCGCUGGUGGCCAAGCAAUAUCUUGUGCUAAGUUCUUUAUAUGUAUUUAAAUGCCUUGAGGAUGUUAUGUGCUGUGAAUGUACGGAAAACAAUUUAUCAAAAAUCACUAAAUUGAGCUUAGCUAGUACA